GCCUGAGGGCAUGUUCAAAUAAAUUCCCCUCCCCCUUUUCAAUACAACCGAAGCUCUUGCUAGCAGCCCCGACAUUCCCUGAAAGCCAUAAUGAGCAUCAAGCACUGCCUGUUCAGCCGGGCUCGUUAAAGAUAGUAACUGGUAGCGAAUGACCAGACACACUCAAUAUUUGAAUACGACAGGAAGGGAAGACACAUCACUCCUCCUCCCUGACAUGCUUUGAGAUUACACUGGAAAAUUGGAUGUUCUUAGUCAAUUCAUCAAUGCGGAUGCACAGUUGCUUUGUACAGCAGCGCACUCCGGUCUUCAUGAAGUGAAAAGGAUCCCAUAUGGAAGAAGAAGCCUCAGCAGUGGAAAUGGACUGGAUAUGCUGGCAGCAAAGGGUGGGGUCAGGAAUGAAUGAUCAGGAUCCACAGCUGAAUUAUAUGCCUUUGGAGCGAAAUCUUCGAACUGUUGCAAUAACAGCCUGUGGCCUGGAGAGGAUCUCCAACACAACAUUUUGCAUCAGUCGACACUUCACUGAACUAAUGGAGAAGCUGCAGUACACUCAAUCGGACUAGAGUACAGAAAGCAACUUAUACCCCAUCCAUCUUUUCCUUAAAAAGGUCAGUUUGUAGAAGAAAUAUGUGUAUUACAUUUGUAUAGAAUGUAAUUUCAACAGUGCUAGGACACUUGACUCGUACAGAAAACUAGAGAAUACAUAUAAAGUGAUGUUCAAAAUACUUUUUUUAAUAUGCAGGAAUUAAAGAGCUUAGAAAUUAUUUGACACAGGAAGAGAUGCACCGUGCAGGGGUCCAAAGGUGUUUGUUGUACAACUGGCCCAAAAGAUUACACGCAAAAUAA